GACAACAGCACAGCUACAAUAUUUAGAAAACAUUUUUCACACCUCCUUAUUAAGAGAGAUUAUGACUCAUAGCUAUGCUUUUGUCUCAGCCUGCCUCCCUGCCUCAGACAGCUCCAGACCUACUUAACAACAUAUACUGCAGCUACAGAAAAAGAAAAUAUCUUUUUAGCCAUGCACCGUUCCAUUCUUCCAUGAUAUUAGGCUGCAGAGACAUUUAUUCCUGCACAUUGCUGCAUAUAUUGUAAUUAUGGCACAUGCACUCCUUGAUAACAUAGCCAUGAAACCACAGAGAUGGAAAUGUUCUACCUAAUCUGACGCCAUGAUGAGCUGCGACCAGCCACGAGACGCUCCACCAGGAAGAGCUCCGCCAUCACCGCUCCUAAACUAUCUGCCGAUAGGUGCACCUGGACCACAUCUUAAAUUUGGGAAAUCUUCAAAUUGAAGGACAUCUCCCAAUAUGUGUUGGAAUAGAGUUUAACCACUAUUACAUCAGUCAACUAAGCGCAAAAACAAAGUAUUGUGGGUCCAGGUGUCCAUGUGAGGAAGGAGCAACAACGUGUACAUGGGACCUUGCUGAGGAAGACUUGGACUAUAUGAAGGUUUGCAGAGAAAACCUUGAGAAAGUGCACGCUGAUGGCUAGAUUAGCCUCCAUGCCAGGUGGGACUAUAUAGUAAUAAUGUAUGGAUGCUGUUUGCACUCUUCCUGAUUAAUUUUCAUUAAACCAUUAUAUUUGUUUUAUCUCUUCCACGUACAGAAAACAUUACAAUAAUAUGUAAGAGAAUGGGGAAGAUACAGAGUGACAUUAUGUUACUUGGCAAGUGUCAGAGGUUUGUAUUGGGGGAGCCUUUCUACAUUUUAUGCUCUGCUCUUUCAGCUGUUGACAAAUACAAUCGUCUUUGUGAGGCUCCUGCGGUUACUUUUUAAGAACUGUCUUUAUGGAAAAAAAUUAAAGUCCCUCAGUGCAGACUAAAACUCCUGUAUUGGUUUCACAGCGCCUUAAAAUUAUACUUGAAGCCAUCUGAAAAGGAGACUUUUAUAUCUUAUUACCUCGAUUCUAAUGCCAAGCGGUCACCCUGUAAAGCACCAUGGAAAAUUGCUAACAAGAUAAAAUGUUUUUAAUGUGAUAUAAUGGCUUUCUUAGGAGAGGGAAGAAAUGAUGCCUGGUCUUCCUG